rnacentral:tRNA from 1 species
GUCUCCGUGGUCCAGUGGUUACGACGUCCGGCUGUUAACCGGGAUAUCGGCGGUUCGAUCCCGCCCGGGGACG